rnacentral:lncRNA from 1 species
AGCUGUGGGGGCAGCGGGGCAGGAGUUGCGAGAGCCCCAUGGCAGGGCAGAGGGGCCACAGAGUGUUUCAGAGCGUCGGCCCUGGCCUAACUGUAUCCGGUCUAUGGCCAGAAGAGGAAAAAUCUGUGCACUGAGCACAUGGCCUCCUGAGCUCCAGUCUCAGCUCCCAGCGACAGGCUUUGAACUUGGUUACAACUGGGGGAAUUCUAAGGAAUCCAGGUCUCCUUGUAAUGGUGUUAAACUGCAUUGUGAUCUCUGAACAAAGGAAAUCACUGAGGCGUUGCUGACUUGCCAAACUCAGAGCAGCAAGGAAGGAAACCACUGCAGAUGAGGAGGCAUGAAGUCUCCAGCUUCCCUUUUCAACAACUGUGGAGAUCAUAGCCAUAAUAACUGCUGAUUAUUAAUGUAUCUUGUCUGCUUGAUGCAACAUCGYGCUAAUGAUGGGAGAGGGCUUGAUGUGCCUCUUAGCAAGGACAACUUGAGAGCAUAAAAUGUCCAAACAAAAAGCAAACUGUAACUGCCCUUAAUAUGAAAUGUAGCCUGUAAAGACUACAGAUCCCAGCAGGGUUCGGAGACACCUCGCCCCAAGAUGCAGCACUGCAUGCUGGAACUUGUAGUGUGCUCAGGCUGCAUCUCCACCGCUGGCCCCCCUUGUAGACCUGUGUGCGGUUAGCCACCUCGCUAGCUUGGGGUGCCUGUGCUGCAUUUGAUGGACCACAAGCCUCAGUAUUACCCUGGAUUUUUUUAAAUCUGUUUUUGUGCUCUGCAUAUGUCUAAAGUAAUACUGACACCACCACACUUCUAAGAAACAAAAUAGUCACUUUGUCUUUCACAUAAAGAAAACCCACUGCUCUCUGUAUUUACAUUUCUAAUAUAGUUGUGCGUAGAGAUGAUUUGUUCAUAAUUAAGGCUUCUUUCUUCAAAGUCUUUUGAAAUUUAUUUCUUCAAGCCAAUUCUUAAUAUUAAAACUAAAUUCUUCCAAGCUACCAAUAAAAUGUCAACUGUGAUUAAAGUCUGACUCCUU